rnacentral:pre_miRNA from 1 species
CAUAUACUCCCUCCGUCCGGAAAUAAUUGUCUUAGAAAUGAAUGUAUCUAGACUUAUUUAGUUAUAGACACAUCCAUUAUAUCCAUUUCUAGGACAAGUAUUUUCGGACGGAGGGAGUAUAAU